rnacentral:rRNA from 1 species
CGCGUAGGUGGUUGCGUCAGUCGGAUGUGAAAUCCCCAGGCUUAACCUGGGAACUGCAUCCGAUACUGCGUGACUCGAGUGCAGCAGAGGGAAACGGAAUUCCUGGUGUAGAGGUGAAAUUCGUAGAUAUCAGGAGGAACACCGGUGGCGAAGGCGGUUUCCUGGGCUGACACUGACACUGAGGCGCGAAAGCGUGGGUAGCAAACGGGAUUAGAUACCCCGGUAGUCCACGCUGUAAACGAUGACGGCUAGGUGUGGGGGGGUUCAGUCCCCUCCGUGCCGCAGCUAACGCAUUAAGUCGUCCGCCUGGGGAGUGCGGCCGCAAGGUUGAA